rnacentral:snRNA from 1 species
AGCUUUGCGCAAUGGCAGUAUCGUAGCCAAUGAGGUUUAUCCGAGGUGCGAUUAUUGCUAAUUGAAAAAUAAAUAAUGUAUC